GUAUACCACCACACCUGGUCCACCUCCCCUUUUUAAACAGAAGAAAAAAAAGGAAAAAACCCCAUAGUUUUAAUGUUUGGGAGAGAGACGCUUAGGACAGAUUGUGGUGUCCUUGGUUACUUGUGAUGAAAAUGAAGGAAAAACACAGGAAGUUGAAGAGUAGUCAUUUGAAGGUAAUAUGGUUUCAUCAUUUGAAAUUAAAAAGGACAAGAGGACACAGAGUGAAAAACUUCUUACUCUUAUCCCCAGUGGCCCUCUCCUCCCUAGAGGCAACAAGUAUUACAGUUUCUCCUGUACCCUUCCAGGGACCUUCUCUGAAUAAACAGGUCAUCUGCAGAGACUGACCUCAUAAACGGACCAACCCCAAUUUGCAGCUACUCCUUUCAGGAUGCCCCGUCGCUCUCAAGUGUGCCAUGCUUUAUUAAAAACAACAACAAGCCAGGCGCCGUGGUGAACACCUGUAAUCCCAGCAGCUCAGAGGCUGAGA